GGUAAGGUGGCUCAGUGGUAGAGCACUUGCCUUGCAUGCAUGAGGCCUGGGUUCGAUUCCUCAGCACCA
rfam:Dipodomys ordii contig_12659, whole genome shotgun sequence.